rnacentral:rRNA from 1 species
UACGUAGGGACCAAGCGUUGUUCGGAUUACUGGGCGUAAAGGGCGCGUAGGCGGCGCGGUAAGUCACUUGUGAAAUCUCUGAGCUUAACUCAGAACGGCCAAGUGAUACUGCAGUGCUAGAGUGUGGAAGGGGCAAUCGGAAUUCUUGGUGUAGCGGUGAAAUGCGUAGAUAUCAAGAGGAACACCUGAGGUGAAGACGGGUUGCUGGGCCAACACGUGACGCUGAGGCGCGAAAGCCAGGGGAGCAAA